ACGGAGGAUCCGAGCGUUAUCCGGAUUUAUUGGGUUUAAAGGGUGCGUAGGCGGUUCAAUAAGUCAGUGGUGAAAGUUUUCGGCUUAACCGGAAAAUUGCCGUUGAUACUGUUGGGCUUGAAUUUGGUUGCUGUGAGUGGAAUGUGUGGUGUAGCGGUGAAAUAAUGAGAUAUUUGACGGAAUAACGAUUGCGAAGGCGUCUCACACAGCCGAUAUUGACGCUGAUGCACGAAAGUGAUGUGAGCAUACAG
rnacentral:rRNA from 1 species